CCUACGGGUGGCAGCAGUGAGGAAUAUUGGUCAAUGGACGCAAGUCUGAACCAGCCAUGCCGCGUGCAGGAAGACGGCCCUAUGAGUUGUAAACUGCUUUUGUACGAGGGUAAACGCAGACACGCGUAUCUGUCUGAAAGUAUCGUACGAAUAAGGAUCGGCUAACUCCGUGCCAGCAGCCGCGGUAAUACGGAGGAUUCAAGCGUUAUCCGGAUUUAUUGGGUUUAAAGGGGGCUUAGGCGGUCGGUUAAGUUAGAGGUGAAAUCCCGAGGCUCAACGUCGGAAUUGACGCGGAUACUGUGCGUCUAGAGGGUAGGUGAGGUAGGCGGAAUGUAUGGUGUAGCGGUGAAAUGCUUAGAUAUCAUGAAGAACACCGAUUGCGAAGGCAGCUUGC
rnacentral:rRNA from 1 species